GACGAACGCUGGCGGCGUGCUUAACACAUGCAAGUCGAGCGGUAAGGCCCUUUCGGGGGUACGACGAGCGGCGAACGGGUGAGUAACACGUGGGUGACCUGCCCUCAGCUCUGGGAUAAGCCUGGGAAACCGGGUCUAAUACUGGAUAUGACUCCAUGACGCAUGUUGUGGGGUGGAAAGCCUUGUGCGGCUGAGGAUGGGCCCGCGGCCUAUCAGCUUGUUGGUGGGGUGAGGCCUACCAAGGCGACGACGGGUAGCCGGCCUGAGAGGGCGACCGGCCACACUGGGACUGAGACACGGCCCAGACUCCUACGGGA
rnacentral:rRNA from 1 species